GUCAGCAAAUAACAACGACAGGCUAACUAACCUCCCCUGUGGGCCAGGUACCUUGCUGAGUGCUUUCCACGCAUUAACCGAAACGGCCGCGUGAGAGAGAGCAGGGAAGGGACACAGAGAGGGAGACACAGGAUCCGAAGCAGGCUCCAGGCUCCGAGCCGCCAGCACAGAGCCCGACGCGGGGCUCGAACUCACGGACCGAGAGAUCGCGACCUGAGCCGAAGUCGGACGCUUCACCGACCGAGCCACCCAGGCACCCCCCAAAUUGUGUAUAUUUCAAGUGUACAACAUGAUGUUCUGAUAUAUACAUAUGUAGUGAAAUGUUUACUACAGCAAAGCUAAUUCACCUACCCGUGUCUGCACCAUCAUUUGUUCUGUGAUGAGAGCCCCCGAAAUCUACUCUUCUAGCACAUUUCUGGUACACGACACGGUAUUUUUAACUAUAAUCCCCAAGCCGUGCAUUGGACCUCGAGGCUUAUUCGUCCGAUGUGAGGGUAACUUUGCAAACUGGGGCCAACAUCCCUCCAUUCUCCCAUCUCCCCACCCCUGGUAACCACUGUUCUACUCUGUGUCUAUGAACUCAACUUUCUGAGAUUCCACAUAAAAGUGAGAUCAUGCA